GGAGGGGGGGUUAGCGUUGUUCGGAAUUACUGGGCGUAAAGCGCACGUUGGGCGGACCAGAAAGUUGGGGGGGGUGAAAUCCCGGGGGCUCAACCCCGGAACUGCCUCCAAAACUAUUGGUCUAGAGUUCGAGAGAGGUGAGUGGAAUUCCGAGUGUAGAGGUGAAAUUCGUAGAUAUUCGGAGGAACACCAGUGGCGAAGGCGGCUCACUGGCUCGAUACUGACGCUGAGGUGCGAAAGUGUGGGGAGCAAACAGGAUUAGAUACCCUGGUAGUCCACACCGUAAACGAUGAAUGCCAGUCGUCGGGUUGCAUGCAAUUCGGUGACACACCUAACGGAUUAAGCAUUCCGCCUGGGGAGUACGGUCGCAAGAUUA
rnacentral:rRNA from 1 species